CCCGACUCUCUAUCCUCCCUUCGUCAUCCACUCUCUCCCCUGCACCUCUCCCUCUCUCUUUAAUAAUGCCCAAAUCCCUUUAUUCCCUUCGUUAUCCGUGCUCUCCCCUACCUCUCUCCCUCUCUUCGUCUCGAAAUUAAAUCAGCAUCCGGCCUCCUCACUUCAGUUUCCUCCGUUUCUCAAUGACUGUGCUCUCUCUAAUUCCAUUCUUAAUCGCUCUCUCCUCGGCCCCUCUUAUCCAUCUCUCUCCAAAUUAUUUUGACGAUCGAUCUCCUCAACUUAAUUCUUUCUGUUUUUAACCAUUGACAAUGUCUAUGUCCUUCCCUCUGAAUCGUACGUUACUAUAAUUGGUAGUAAUUGCUAGAGCUUUCCAAUCCCUAACAAUUAUUUUGUGAUUCUAUAAAUACGUUCUGCUUCAAUUUUGAUGGAGAAAAGAAGGUUUUUGUUUCCAAUUGUAAGUACAGGUGUCUGAGAUUGAUAGGAGGAGUAGAAAGCUAUCGAGGUAUAAAGAUUAAGAUCAACUAAUAAGAAAAACAAGGUAUCUACAUUAAUACAAACUAAAAUAUGGUUCAUUACGUAUACAACGGUUAGGCCUGAUUUGUGGAUCAUAGCAUUGACGAGCACAAGCCUUCUUGAAUUCCAGGUUCCUCCAAACCAAUGCGAUCCAAAGAUUUAGAGGACGGACAUGUAAAGUAUGGAGAUGCCUUGCAGACGGAGUGUAUUCUAGAUGGAGCAGGAGAGCAAGCGGAAACUUAGUCAUUUCUUUUCUGUAAUCGUUGAGGGAUAUUAGAUUACUUAUGAAGUAUUUUCUCUUUUAGUAUUUAGAGAGAUUUAAUCCUUUUUUAUAGUACUUAUUUUUAUUCUGUUGGACUAUGUAUUUUUAUAUUUAGUUGGACUGUUUUUGACCCAAACCUUGUGUCAU